UUCCACGUGACGGAUGAUUAUCACAUCCGUUUGAUGGCGUAUAAAAAGUCAGAAAUUUGUUGAAACACCAGCAACAUUUGGUCGUCUCGUGUUGGUUGAUACCUUUGUAGGUUCGACUCCCUUGAUAAGUGAAGAACAUCCAAUAAGGUGUUCAUCAUGACGACGUGUAAACCCAAUCAGAGCCUGAAGACCAUAAUAUUUAUAGCCAUCCUGUGCUUUUCGUGCGGAACAAUGAAGAGCCUGGGAACAAGUGCGGCUGGAAUCCUGCAUUCAAGAGAGUCCAUAUUUGGCCAAGAAGGGUCAUCAGGUUCUGGCACGGGUGGUAGUGGCAGCUCACCAGGCGGAGGCAGCAGUGGAACAGGGGGGAUUGGCUCCUCGCUUGGAUCGGGCGCUGACGGAAGCCUUUCGGGUACGGGGAGCUCUGGAACAGCGGGAAUUCGUGGUCUCGGUGGCAGUGGAAGCACAGGGACGAUGACUGGCUCGGGGACGAGUGGAAGCGGAGGUUCGUCUGGUACGGGUGGCGCUGCUACUGGUACAGGAACUGGUGGGCUCGGAAGUAUUCCAGGCAUCGGAACAAAUGGCAAUGGCAUUUCUAGUGGAUAGAUCGCGGGCAUGCAUGUAUGACUCGGGGUUGGAAGAUGUACAAGUUAGAGUCAAUGCUCGACUUGGAACAAGCGACUAACGCCAAACAACAGAUGGAAUGGUGACGGUGGGACACUAAUUUCUGGGAAACCAAACUCGAGCGCGUCUGUUUCUUUGUUACCUGUUGCCUUAAUAAAAUGGACAUAAAGGAGAAAAAUUA
rnacentral:lncRNA from 1 species